GCUGUCACGGCGCUUGCUGGGCGAAGCCGAGGGCUCUGCCAUGGUCCCUGCGUCGAUUUUGCGCUUUCGGUGCUGCUCUGGGACGCCGAGGAGCUGCCCAGCAUGCGCGACCCCGGGCGGCCGGAUCCAGAGAGGCGGUGGCGGCGGCUGCUCAGCGAAGUCGCAAAGCAGGAGCCGCUUCCAAGGCACGUGGAACGUCACCGGCUCGGCCGCACGCCGCUUGGCCAUGGGCCCAGAGGCUCGGGCGGAGCCCGCCAGGCGCGGGAGACCGAGUGCCGAUAGCUGCGGGGGGCGAAGAGCGAGGACUGAGCGCGUGAGAGAGGGACAGGCCGAAGUCGGGCGAGGAGGCGACAGGACGCUGGAGGGGGUAGGGCGGGGCAGCUCGCGCAGGGCCUAGGGCUGGGGCUCCGGCUCGGAGGCAGCUCCCGCGCUCAGCCCUCGCCGCCGCCGAGAUGCGGCCCGGACGUUGAGAAGCAACCGCGAAGCGGCGGAGAUUCGAACCUGCGCACAACGUGCGCGCGCGCACUCUGUCUGGCCAGGCGGAGCCGCUGGUUGGUGGAGGCUCGCGGGGCGCGCUCCCGAGCGCCCUCGCGACCGGAAGUGCGCG
rnacentral:lncRNA from 1 species